UUACUGACAGAAUUUAUUCAAUGCUCUUCUUUGUAUGUCUGUAACAAAUAUUUGUAAUGUUCCUUUAAGUAAUGCGUUUGGUCCAGAACUCAGUGGAGCGGAAGUAACAUUCAGUGCGGACUUUUUAGAGUGUGACACAAGCAACAAGGACUAUGGGGGCGUGGGUUUCUGCAUCUCCUCGCCAUCUUCUUAAGUAUAUAAAGGACUCAUGUCAGUUGUUAUGGUGAAGUUAUGUGUCAAGUCCAAUUUUUGAUCCGCUCAUUGAGAAGAGUGAAGUGCAACUCCGAAGUUGAUCGUAUUUCUCCCGUUUGGUUACAGCAGGCAAUGAGGUGCGUUCAAGGUGUCUGUUAAUUUGAGUUUCCAUGUAAAUGUGAUGAAACAGGCAUUUUAUGUCUGUAAACCUAACAUGUACUGGGUUUAUAUUGGUCAUAGUGUUAUUAUAAGGCAUGUUACAUGAUGUCUAAAUGAUUGAAGUUUGCUGAAUGUGUAAGAAAGGAAUUAAUGGUUACUGUUUAGGAAUUGUGAGGUUUCUAAAUACAAUUUUUAUUUUAUUAGUUCUCACGAUGGCAACGCUGAGUGAUCCUGUUGGUGAGCUUGGAAUAAACCAUCUGUAUAUAAAGAACUUGUCCUCGUGGUGACUGACGGGAGUAACAGUGAGAACUCAUCUGCUCCUUGAGAGUGGACGAGAAGGAAGUGAACACAACCCAAGUCGCCUACAAGAGAUGUCCUUGCACAAGACUCCACCAGAUGCCACCAGCCAAGAACGGGUUUGAAUGUCCUAACAAUACUAAGGAAAGACACAGUGAAGGGUUCAAGUGUGCUGCAGAAAUUUAAGCUGAAGAUCACCUACAAGUUUGGAUGCUUUAAAGUGCAAGCAAAUAGGUCCUAAGGUGUUUUCAUUAUAUCUGCAUCAAGAACAUUCAAGUUUACGAUAAUUUAAAGUGUUGAGCUAUUUAUGCUUUCAUAUUAUUGUUGGUAAUUUCAGACCCAUGCUACUGAAACUUUAAGUUUCACAAGUCUUGGACUUUAAGUUUGUAAGAAUAGAUUACUCAAAGUGUUCGCUGAUAUUCUGCAAGUUCAUCUUCUGUGAUUAAUCCAACUUAACCACGUUUAUAUAAUCAGUCUCUAAGAGGUGCUAAUUUAAGUAAUGUGAAAUUGAGUGUGCAUUGUUCAUUUUUGUGGUUUUACUAAAUCAACCCAAGUGCAUCCAUUCACCCCAACUGAAUCCAACAUGUCAGUCACAAAUGCAUCUAAAGAUUAUGAUAAACAUGAGGAAAGGAAUAAUACCAAACCCCAGGAAUAUCCUCCACUGUGCAGUUCUCCUCCACAGAACAUAGAUGGUCUGCAAGAAACCCAAGGAACAUUAGAGGUUCAGACAUCAACGAGUAAGUGUCCACAAACUACACAGGAUGUACAACAAGCACCUCGCAAAAGCCAUCGGUCACGAACAUUAACUGAGAAGGGAAGAGAAAUGUUGAAACCCAGGAUUAAAGAGUUGGAACAAAGCUUCAAGAUUAAGUAUGAAAAGUGGAAGGUUCUAGCAAAGGAUGCACAUCAUUCACUUUCUGGCAGCUGUUCAGAUGAAGAGCUACAAACCAUAAUAAACAACAUCUCCUGUGCAUCCAGAGAACUAAAUACAGCAUAUGAAAAUUGGCGUAAGGUGGACAAUCCUGAUAAUAAUGCAAGACGCAGAAUUGACAGCAGUGAAGAGAUAACGAAAAAUGUUAUUGAGACUGCAAAAUGUUAUUUGAGAGGAAAGAAACCAGUUGACACACAGUUUAUUGGACAUGAAUCUUUCUUAAUGUCUGAGAAGUCAUAUCACACCAGCAAGCACUCACAGAGCGCUAGUGUGUGCAAAGACUCACAAAGAUCAUCAAGGGUCACCUCUAAGUGUUCCAGUGCAACAUCCAUGAGCAGACAAGAAGCUGCAGCUAAAAUUGCUGCAGCUGAAGCAACUCUGGAAAUUAUACAUGAACAGCAGUGUCAACAAGCAGAGCUUCUAAGACUGGAAGCUGAAGAUAAAAGACAGAUUGCAGAGCAAACAGCUGAAGCUUGUAGACGACGUUUAAGGAUGGAGGAAGAAGAAGCCCUGCUAAAGGCAAAACUGGAGGUGGAAAAUGCUGCCAGGCGGAAAAUUUUGGAAGACAAGCGAAGGGAACUGGAACGGUUGGAAGCAAUCAAACAGCUAAGUGCUGCGAAGGCAUCAAUGCAAGUAUAUGAGCAAGAUGAAAAUUCAGAAGAAGAAAUUAGGCAGUUGCUACAUGAUUGCAGAUUGGAAAGGGAGAAGGAGAGUGACAGAAUUGACUACAAGGGUCGAAAUGUUAACGCACCAGAGCUUCCUUCUCCACAACAUACCGUUACACAGCCACUGCAUGAUGGCAGUAUAGCAGCACUUGCUAGGGUGUUGGCAGAUUCUAUCAGUGCCAGUCGUCUUCCUAUACCAGAGCCAACUGUAUUCAGUGGUGACCCUCUGAAGUAUAAGAAUUGGAAAGCUGCCUUUCAAACUUUGAUAGACAGAAAAAAUAUACUGGCAUCUGAAAAAAUCUACUAUUUAGGCAAGUACGUUGGUGGACCAGCUAAGAAGGCCAUUGAAAAUUAUUUCCUGCUAGGCACAGAGGCUGCUUACAUUACAGCAUGGGAGGUUUUAGAGGAAAGAUUUGGAAACUCUUUCCUUAUUGCAAAGGCCUUCAGAGACAAACUAAAUGCAUGGCCCAAGAUUGGCUCCAAGGACAGCUUAGAGCUUCAGGAGUUUGUAGACUUCCUGCGUAGCUGUGAAACUGCGGUAACCCAGAUUAAUGGAUUAGAGAUUCUUAAUGAUUGCAACGAAAAUCAAAAAAUCCUCUCCAAGCUUCCUGACUGGCUGACUUCAAGGUGGAAUCGAAAGGUCUUAAUAAUAGAAGAAGAAACUGGAAGAUUUCCAAGCUUUAGCCAGUUUGUACAGUUUCUUAUUAAGGAAGCAAAGAUUGCAUGCAAUCCUGUUACCUCACUCCAUGCUUUGAAACAAUGUGAUGGGGAAAGGGCCAAACCACAAGGAAAGCGGGGUCAUGCAGCUAAGGUUCUAUCAACAAACAGUGAUGAGAAGAGUGACACCUUAACUUGUGUAUUUUGUGAAAGAUCAGGUCACAGUUUGUACAAGUGUAGAAGAUUUCUGGAAAAACCAACAGUAGAACGACACAAGUUUGUUCAAGAAAGUAAACUGUGCUUUGGCUGUCUCAAACCUGGACAUCAUUCGAGAGACUGUAAGAAUAGAAAUACUUGCAGUACAUGCCAGAAAAGGCAUCCGACUUGCUUACAUGAGGAUCGGAAGGAAGAACAGAAGUCAGGAAAGUUUGAAAGAACAAAGGAAGGCGAUAGCUGCAGGAAAAGAAACGAACAAGUAGAAGAAACCAGAGCAAGACAAAUAAGUGAGGUGACAUCUAACAGAGUUCAGCAUGACAACACCAGCACUCAGACAUCCACAAUUAUUCCUGUGUGGGUUUCAGCAGUGAAAGAGCCUAACAAAGAAACACUUGUUUAUGCACUCCUUGAUACACAGAGUGACACAACUUUCAUUCUUGAAGAGACAGCACGUUCUCUAAAGGCAAAGGGUGAACAGGUCAAACUCAAGUUAUCUACCAUGGCCUCUAAGACUACUGUUGUAUCAUGCCAAAGGCUCUCUGGUUUGCAAGUCAGAGGAUUCAAUUCAGAGAAGAAAAUAACUCUUCCUACAGCUUACACAAGGAAAUUCAUUCCUGCAAAUAGAGAUCAUAUCCCUACACCAGAGACAGCUAGGGCAUGGGCUCAUCUUGAGCACAUCGCUGAUAAGUUAGCUCUUCCUCAAAGUUGUGAAGUUGGCUUACUAAUUGGCUACAACUGUUCACAAGCUCUUCUUCCUAGAGAAGUGGUGUCUGGUGAAGAAAAUCAACCAUUUGCACAGAGAACAGACUUAGGAUGGAGCAUUAUUGGAUAUGCCAGCCCAUACAUGGAUGGUGGAGACGCUAUUGGAGUGAGCCAUCAAGUUAUCACAAGGCAAGUGACACCAUCACUCCAGCUUCCAUCCAGUCGCAACCAUGAAGUUCACUAUGUGUGCAGGACACAGAUCAAAGAAGUAAUCUCAUCUGACCAAUGGAACUAUGUUGCCUCAGAGGACAACCCUGCUGACCACUCUUCUAGGGGACUGACAGCUGUACAGCUAAAGACAUCGAACUGGUUUAGAGGCCCAGAUUUUCUGUGGCAACUACAGCUCCCAAGUAGGUUGAUCAUGGUGGGAGAGAUUUCAGAAAAUGACCCAGAACUACGAAAGGCUCAUGCCCACAACCUUCAAUCAAGGGAAGAGAGGUCGCUGCUUGAUCGUCUUGAAAGGUUUUCAGAUUGGACAAGAGCAGUACGGGCAGUAGCCACACUGAAACGUAGAGCGAAGGGCCAGAAACUAAGGUCCAAUGAACCCACAACCUUGGAAGAACAUAAGGAAGCAGAAGUUUUUCUUAUAAGACUGGUUCAAGCCAUGCACUUCCCUAAGAACACAAUGAGUCGUAAGCAAAAUGGACAAAUCAAAGCAACUGACAAGACAAACAAAUUGCACAAAUUAAACCCAUUCCUUGAUGAGCAGGGUGUGCUCAGGGUAGGAGGGCGUUUAACCCACUCCAGUCUUCACCCUCACGUGAAACACCCAGCUAUCCUUCCCAAGGAAAACCAUUUGUCAACACUCCUUAUCAAGCAUUAUCAUGAAAGGGUGCAACACCAGGGACGGGGUAUGACUGUUAAUGAACUGCGAGCCAAUGGUGUUUGGAUUCUUGGAUGCAGUAAGGCAGUCUCGUCACAUAUUUACAACUGCACAAGGUGUAGGAAGUAUAGACGCAGCACUGAAGAACAACGGAUGGCUGACCUCCCACAAGAGCGUGCAGAGUUGACUCCACCCUUUACAUACUGUGGGAUGGACUGCUUUGGACCCAUCUAUAUUAAAGAGGGAAGAAAGGAGUUAAAACGUUACGGACUUUUACUGACAUGCAUGUGCUCCAGAGCCAUACAUAUCGAGAUGCUCAAUGACUUAACAACGGAUGCAUUGAUCAAUGCUCUGCGCUCAUUUAUUGCAUUGCGUGGAAGUGUCAGACAACUUCGCUGUGAUCAAGGCAGCAACUUUAUGGGUGCAAGGCGUGAGUUUGCUGAAGCUAUGAAGGAGAUGGAUGGAGAGAAACUCAAAAAAUUUGGAUGUGAGUUCAUUAUGAAUACUCCAUCUGCGAGUCAUCAAGGUGGCCUUUGGGAACGGCAAAUACGAACGGUACGUAAUGUCCUUUCAUCCAUCCUUGACCAGUCGGAUAAAAGACUUGACAGCAGUUCUUUAAGAACUUUCCUCUACGAGGUUAUGGCAAUUGUAAACAGCAGGCCAUUAACAACAGAACAUUUGCACAAUCCAUCUGGUCCAGAACCUUUGACGCCUAAUCACAUCUUGACUAUGAAGUCCAGCGUUAUUGCUCCCCCUCCUGGAAGGUUUAUCAAGGAAGAUCUGUACCUUCAAAAACGAUGGCGCAGAGUACAGUUCCUAGCCAACAGCUUUUGGGCACGGUGGAAGAAGGAAUAUUUGUUAAAUCUUCAGAACCGGCAAAAAUGGAGCAAGGUGAGAAGAAAUGCAAAGGUCAACGAUAUUGUGCUACUUAAGGAUGAUUCUGCACCACGUAACCAGUGGAAAAUGGCAAGGAUCACGGAUGUGUAUCCAGGGAAGGACGGACAAGUGAGAAGCAUCAGGCUGUUGAUCAGCGAUUCAACUUUAGAUAAUAAGGGAAGGCGGACCACAAAACCCACCUAUCUUGAGAGGCCCAUUCAGAAGAUAGUAACUUUACUAGAAGCUGAUGGAUGAAUCAUUUUCACACCUUUCACACUUGACACCUUUCGUACUUUUCACGCUAGUUGUUCUUUAAUCUCAAAUGUGAUUUGUUAUGAUUCACAAUGGUUCAAUUUAACGCAAAAUCACAGGUGAUUUGGUGGGAGUGUUACUGACAGAAUUUAUUCAAUGCUCUUCUUUGUAUGUCUGUAACAAAUAUUUGUAAUGUUCCUUUAAGUAAUGCGUUUGGUCCAGAACUCAGUGGAGCGGAAGUAACAUUCAGUGCGGACUUUUUAGAGUGUGACACAAGCAACAAGGACUAUGGGGGCGUGGGUUUCUGCAUCUCCUCGCCAUCUUCUUAAGUAUAUAAAGGACUCAUGUCAGUUGUUAUGGUGAAGUUAUGUGUCAAGUCCAAUUUUUGAUCCGCUCAUUGAGAAGAGUGAAGUGCAACUCCGAAGUUGAUCGUAUUUCUCCCGUUUGGUUACAGCAGGCAAUGAGUUCUCACGAUGGCAACGCUGAGUGAUCCUGUUGGUGAGCUUGGAAUAAACCAUCUGUAUAUAAAGAACUUGUCCUCGUGGUGACUGACGGGAGUAACAAGCAGGCUUCCUCAUUUUCUAUUAAGGACUUAAUGAGAUCAUCUCAGUAAAAUCAUUCAACACCCUUUUUUUCCUGUAUGCUAGUUUGUUUUGUUUAAUCUGGUUAUAAACUUCGUAUUCACAUAAAAGAAUGUGGAACAUUAUACAACAGUGUUCAAGUAAUUACCUUACCUUCAACGCCAGCCUGCUGACAAUUUAAAACUUUCACUUUAACACCUGACCUAACUCCUGUGACA